rnacentral:rRNA from 1 species
GACGAACGCUGGCGGCGUGCUUAACACAUGCAAGUAGAACGGAAAGGCCCUGCUUUUGUGGGCUGCAUGAGUUGCGAACGGGUGAGUAACACGUAGGUAACCUGCCCUUGACUUUGGGAUAACUUCAGGAAACUGGGGCUAAUACCGCAUAGGAGCUGAUGCUGCAUGACAUGGGUUGGAAAGUUUCGGCGGUUGGGGUUGGACUCGCGGCUUCUCAGCUUGGUGGUGUGGUAGUGGCAUACCAAGGCUUUGACGGGUAGCCGUACUGAGAGUGUGACCGGCCACAGUGUGAUUGAGGUAGCAGCCAUAGGCCUACGUGAGGCAUCAGUGGAGAAUAGUGCGAAAAGGGCGGAAUGCGUGAACAGCAACGUCGCGUGCUAGAUGACUGCUGUCGGGUUGGAAACAGCGUGCGCCUGGAAAGUAGCGUGAGUGACGGUAUUUGAUAAAGAAGCACCGGCUAACUACGUG